rnacentral:rRNA from 1 species
UACGUAGGGGGCUAGCGUUGUCCGGAAUCAUUGGGCGUAAAGCGCGUGUAGGCGGUUCGGUAAGUCCGCUGUGAAAGUCGGGGGCUCAACCCUCGAAUGCCGGUGGAUACUGUCGGACUAGAGUACGGAAGAGGCGAGUGGAAUUCCUGGUGUAGCGGUGAAAUGCGCAGAUAUCAGGAGGAACACCAAUUGCGAAGGCAGCUCGCUGGGACGUUACUGACGCUGAGACACGAAAGCGUGGGGAGCAAACAGG